rnacentral:misc_RNA from 1 species
AGCAGCCGCGGUAAUUCCAGCUCCAAUAGCGUAUAUUAAAGUUGUUGCAGUUAAAAGCUCGUAGUUGAAUUUCGGGGUUAGCAGGUCGGUCGUGCCAUCGGUAUGAACUGGUCUCGCUCAUCCCUCCCUCUUGACGAACUGUGAUGCCAUUAAUUUGGUGUCGCAGGGAAUCAGGACUGUUACUUUGAAAAAUUGAGUGUUUAAAGCAGGCUCACGCUUGAAUACAUUAGCAUGGAAUAAUGAAAUAGGACGUUUGAUCCUAUUUUGUUGGUUUCUAGGAUUGACGUAAUGAUUAAUAGGGAUAGUUGGGGGCAUUAGUAUUCAAUUGUCAGAGGUGAAAUUCUUGGAUUUAUUGAAGACUAACUACUGCGAAGGCAUUUGCCAAGGAUGUUUUCAUUAAUCAAGAACGAAAGUUAGGGAUCGAAGACGAUCAGAUACCGUCGUAGUCUUAACCAUAAACUAUGCCGACUAGGGAUCGGAUGAUGUUAAUUUUUAAUGUACUCU